GUGCUCCCUCCCGCAGCAUAUGUACUAAAAUUGGAAAGAUACAGAGAAGAAGAGCAUGGCCCCUGCACAAGGAUGACAGGCAAAUUCAUGAAGGGUUCCUUAUUUUA